UAGUUUGACUCCGUGGCUCGAGGACGACGCUGGCGGCGUGCUUAACACAUGCAAGUCGAACGCUGAAGCCUGGCUUUGUGUUGGGUGGAUGAGUGGCGAACGGGUGAGUAACACGUGAGUAACCUGCCCUCUUCUUCGGGAUAACGGUCUGAAAGGGCUGCUAAUACCGGGUAUUCACUGGUCCUCGCAUGGGGGUUGGUGGAAAGGUUUUUUCUGGUGGGGGAUGGGCUCGCGGCCUAUCAGCUUGUUGGUGGGGUGAUGGCCUACCAAGGCUUUGACGGGUAGCCGGCCUGAGAGGGUGACCGGUCACAUUGGGACUGAGAUACGGCCCAGACUCCUACGGGAGGCAGCAGUGGGGAAUAUUGCACAAUGGGCGCAAGCCUGAUGCAGCGACGCCGCGUGAGGGAUGGAGGCCUUCGGGUUGUGAACCUCUUUCGCCCGUGGUCAAGCCGCAACGUGGGUUGUGGUGAGGGUAGUGGGUAAAGAAGCGCCGGCUAACUACGUG
rnacentral:rRNA from 1 species